rnacentral:rRNA from 1 species
GAUGAACGCUGGCGGCGUGCCUAAUACAUGCAAGUCGAGCGAAUGGAUUAAGAGCUUGCUCUUAUGAAGUUAGCGGCGGACGGGUGAGUAACACGUGGGUAACCUGCCCAUAAGACUGGGAUAACUCCGGGAAACCGGGGCUAAUACCGGAUAGCAUUUUGAACCACAUGGUUCGAAAUUGAAAGGCGGCUUCGGCUGUCACUUAUGGAUGGACCCGCGUCGCAUUAGCUAGUUGGUGAGGUAACGGCUCACCAAGGCAACGAUGCGUAGCCGAGCGGGGAGGGUGAUCGGCCACACUGGGACUGAGACACGGCCCAGACUCCGACGGGAGGCAGCAGUAGGGAAUCUUCCGCAAUGGACGAAAGUCUGACGGAGCAACGCCGCGUGAGUGAUGAAGGCUUUCGGGUCGUAAAACUCUGUUGUUAGGGAAGAACAAGUGCUAGUUGAAUAAGCUGGCACCUUGACGGUACCUAACCAGAAAGCCACGGCUAACUACGUGCCAGCCGCCGCAGUAA